CAGCCGCCACGGUAAUACGUAGGUGGCAAGCGUUGUCCGGAAUUAUUGGGCGUAAAGGGCUCGCAGGCGGUUUCUUAAGUCAGGGGUGAAAUCCCGAGGCUCAACCUCGGAACUGCCUUUGAUACUGGAGAUCUUGAGUUCGGAAGAGGUUGGUGGAACAGCUAGUGUAGAGGUGAAAUUCGUAGAUAUUAGCUAGAACACCAGUGGCGAAGGCGGCCAACUGGUCCGACACUGACGCUGAGGUGCGAAAGCGUUGGGAGCAAACAGGAUUAGAGACCCCCGUAGUCCCUGUCUCUUAUAC
rnacentral:rRNA from 1 species